UACAGAGGUCUCAAGCGUUGUUCGGAUUCAUUGGGCGUAAAGGGUGCGUAGGUGGCGCCAUAAGUCGGGUGUGAAAUCUCGGGGCUUAACUCCGAAACUGCAUUCGAUACUGUGGUGCUUGAGGACUGGAGAGGAGACUGGAAUUCAUGGUGUAGCAGUGAAAUGCGUAGAGAUCAUGAGGAAGACCAGUGGCGAAGGCGGGUCUCUGGACAGUUCCUGACACUGAGACACGAAGGCCAGGGGAGCAAACGGG
rnacentral:rRNA from 1 species